AUUGAACGCUAGCGGGAUGCCUUACACAUGCAAGUCGAACGGCAGCACGGACUUCGGUCUGGUGGCGAGUGGCGAACGGGUGAGUAAUGUAUCGGAACGUGCCUAGUAGCGGGGGAUAACUACGCGAAAGCGUAGCUAAUACCGCAUACGCCCUACGGGGGAAAGCAGGGGAUCGCAAGACCUUGCACUAUUAGAGCGGCCGAUAUCGGAUUAGCUAGUUGGUGGGGUAACGGCUCACCAAGGCGACGAUCCGUAGCUGGUUUGAGAGGACGACCAGCCACACUGGGACUGAGACACGGCCCAGACUCCUACGGGAGGCAGCAGUGGGGAAUUUUGGACAAUGGGGGAAACCCUGAUCCAGCCAUCCCGCGUGUGCGAUGAAGGCCUUCGGGUUGUAAAGCACUUUUGGCAGGAAAGAAACGUCAUGGGUUAAUACCCCGUGAAACUGACGGUACCUGCAGAAUAAGCACCGGCUAACUACGUGCCAGCAGCCGCGGUAAUACGUAGGGUGCAAGCGUUAAUCGGAAUUACUGGGCGUAAAGCGUGCGCAGGCGGUUCGGAAAGAAAGAUGUGAAAUCCCAGAGCUUAACUUUGGAACUGCAUUUUUAACUACCGAGCUAGAG
rnacentral:rRNA from 1 species